rnacentral:rRNA from 1 species
AACGAACGCUGGCGGCAUGCCUAACACAUGCAAGUCGAACGGGACCUCCGGGCCUAGUUGCGCUCGGGGGCGGAACGCGGGGGAAGCUGCCCGUAGGUACGGAAUAAUUCCCUGUAGGGGGUGCUAAUACAGGUUAAUGUCUUCGGACCAAAGAUUUAUCGCCUUUGGAUGGGCGCGGGUUGGUUUAGCCAGUUGGGAGGGGAAAAGCCUACCAAGGCGAGGAUCCAUAGCUGGUCUGAGAGGAUGAGCAGCCACGCUGGGGCUGAGACACGGCCCAGACUCCUACGGGAGGGAGCAGAGGGGAAUACAGGACGAUGGGGUAAGGCCUGAUCCAGCAAGGCCGGGUAAGUGAUGAAGGCCGUAGGGUAGUGAAGCUGUUUUACACGAGGUGAUAAUGACGGUACCGGGAGAAUAAGCACCGGCUAACUCCGUG